rnacentral:misc_RNA from 1 species
UGCAGAGUCGUCCGGAGAUCGGUUUCUGUUCGACGGCCGCUCGCGUUGAGGAUGCCGAUGGGAAACUGCUCAACCAGUGGCGCUGCCGCCACGGAAGCAUCGAAAUGCUGGCGACGCUCUUCGCCGAAAAUGCGGCGAUCGCCGGCGGCUGUUCGGCGGUCAUGGUGCGCAAGGAUCUUGUGGACCAGGUUGGACUGUUCGACGAGACGCUGCGCGGUUUCGAAGACCCCGACCUGUGGAUGCGCUUGCGGCCAUAUCGGGCUACCAAUGCAUCGACGAAGCGUUGGUCGUCAUUCUCCGCCGCGAGAGGAGCGUGAGUCGCAACCUGGAUUCGAUGAGAGUUUCCGCCCUGCGAUCGAUGCGAAAAAACCGGGUACUGUUGCCGGCGCAGCUGCGUGGCAGCUUCUGGCGCAACUGCCUCGCGGGCGUCUAUACCGACUAUGCGAAGCCCGCCUACCGCGCAGGGCGGAUCGGCGCGGCCUAUGCGGAUACGCUGCGGGCCCUCUUGCUGUCCCCCGUUGGCCGGGGACGACUCUGCCUCGGGCUCCUCCGGGACUUCCUGCUGGGAAGGCCCAUAUGAACACCGCCGGGCCGCCCCAAGGUGUGAAUUGCUCCCUCUCGGAGGGACGGCGCGCAGCGCCAAGGGUGCCCCAAUGACCAUGCAGCCUCUCGAUCACUUGCUCGUCGACUCGCUGGCGCAAGGCACCCAGGUGGUGCUGGUGGUGGCCGCUACUUUGAGCGCUGGGCUGUUGAUCAAAGUCCAUCCUGGAUUUCACGCGGACCGGGCCCGAACUGGCAGAAGAGGUUUGGCCCACUACCGCGUUUACCUCGCGUAUUCGCUGCGAGACUGCUGGCUUUCGCAUUCCUGAUCACCGCGUUCAUGGCGUUCGUUGGGGUCGCAGCAUAUGUGGUAGGUCUGGUGCUUCUCGGCGCAAGCUAUGAGCCUGCAGCGGCUGCCGGCGCGGCGGUUGCGAGCGUUGUUUUGCUGACCGGUCGCCGGUUCGCGAACACGUUGCUGUUCUCCCCCGGCGUCAUCGCGGCUUCGUCUCUGUAUUCCAUGACGCAUUUCUACCCACUCUGGGACAGGCUUACGCCUCGCCGCCUGCGAGGCUUCGAUAUCGCUUUGCUCGCUGCGGGAGGCACAUGGCUUGCGGCAGGUCUGACUGCGCUGGCGCGAGACGGCGCAUGGCCGGGCAUGCUGCUCCUUACCGGCAUUGCGGCGCUCUAUGUGGCGACUUGCUGGUUGGCCAUUAGGGAGCAGGAGCCCGCUGCGGUACCUCCCCGACCGCGACCGGAUGCCGCGCCGAACAUUUUGCUGAUCGGCUCCGAUACCUUACGCGCGGACCGGAUCUUUGGGACCGGCUAUCCCCGGGAGCUCACCCCCAAUCUGGCGCGCCUCGCGAAGCGGGGCACCGCAAUUCACCGAUUGCUACGUCCCGUGUGCGCGGACCGCGCCCAGCCUCGUCUCGAUGCUGAGCGGCACCUGGCCGCACACGCACGGUGUGCGCGAUACCUUCGUGACCCCCGAACAGACGCAACUUCCGUCCAGUCGUUGCCGCAGAUUCUCAAGCCACUGGGAUAUCGAUCGCUAUCGUCGGCGAUUGGGCGGCCUCGGACGCCGAGAAAUUCAAUUUCGGAUUCGAUCACCGCGACCUGCCACACGAUCAGUGGAACAUCAAAUUCCUGCUUCGGCAGGGGCCGAAGGACUUGCGGCCGUUCCUUGUCGCUGUUCACGCAAACGCAUUCGGCAAGGCGUUCCUGCCCGAGAUCUAUUACCUCGGCGGCGUUCCGCUGACCGAGGAGGUCGGCCGCGACACGCGGCGGAUGAUCGGAAAGCUUGCACAGGAUGGCACGCCGUUCUUCCUGAUGUCGUUCAUGCGACCACACACCCGCCGUUCACGU